UUCCGAUUGCAUUCAUGAACUUUCUUCUCACUCGCAGAUUGUGAAGCCCUUACUGCUGUUGUCGUUGCUGACACUCAUUUGCAACAUAUGGGUUCACCGAGUUUUCACAGGUGGAGCUCUGGCUGCAUUUGUUGACUGGGGGACUGCCAAGAUAGCGCGGUAGGAGCAAAUCAG
rnacentral:lncRNA from 1 species